rnacentral:rRNA from 1 species
AACGUACGCUGGCGGCACGCCUAACACAUGCAAGUCGAACGAAGUAGCAAUACUUAGUGGCAGACGGGUGAGUAACAUGUAGGUAUCUGCCCUUUGGCCUGGAAUAACACGAGGAAACUUGUGCUAAUACUGGAUAAGUCUUUACGGAGAAAGCUUUAUGCACCAUUGGAUGAGCCUGCACUUGAUUAGUUUGUUGGUGGGGUAAUGGCCUACCAAGACUGUGAUCAAUAGCUGAUUUGAGAGGAUGAUCAGCCACAUUGGGACUGAGACACGGCCCAAACUCCUACGGGAGGCAGCAGUGGGGAAUCUUGCACAAUGGAGGAAACUCUGAUGCAGCGAUGCCGCGUGAGUGAAGAAGGCCCUUGGGUUGUAAAGCUCUUUCGUCGGGGAAGAAAAUGACUGUACCCGAAUAAGAAGGUCCGGCUAACUUCGUG